GGCGGACGGGUGAGUAAUAUAUAGUUUAACCUGCCCUCGAGAAAGGAAUAACAGUUGGAAACGAACUGGCUAAUGCCCUAUAUGCCUUUAAGACAUAAGUCUGCAAGGGAAAUGCUUUAGUGCUCGAGGAUGGGACUGUACGGUAUCAGAUAGUUGGUGGGGUAAUGGCCUACCAAGUCAAUGACGCCUAACUGGUUUGAGAGGAUGAUCAGUCACACUGGAACUGAGACACGGUCCAGACUCCUACGGGAGGCAGCAGUGGGGAAUAUUGCACAAUGGAGGAAACUCUGAUGCAGCAACGCCGCGUGGAGGAUGACACAUUUCGGUGCGUAAACUCCUUUUAUAUAGGAAGAUAAUGACGGUACUAUAUGAAUAAGCGCCGGCUAACUCCGUGCCAGCAGCCGCGGUAAUACGGAGGGCGCAAGCGUUACUCGGAAUCACUGGGCGUAAAGAGCGUGUAGGCGGAUAGAUAAGUCAGAAGUGAAAUCCUAUGGCUCAACCAUAGAACUGCUUUUGAAACUGUUUAUCUAGAGUGUGGGAGAGGUAGAUGGAAUUUCUGGUGUAGGGGUAAAAUCCGUAGAGAUCAGAAGGAAUACCGAUUGCGAAGGCGAUCUACUGGAACAUAACUGACGCUGAGACGCGAAAGCGUGGGGAGCAAACAGGAUUAGAUACCCUGGUAGUCCACGCCCUAAACGAUGUCACUAGUUGUUGUGAGGCUUGACCUUGCAGUAAUGCAGUAACACA
rnacentral:rRNA from 1 species